rnacentral:rRNA from 1 species
AGCGAACGCUGGCGGCAGGCCUAACACAUGCAAGUCGAACGAACCCUUCGGGGUUAGUGGCGGACGGGUGAGUAACACGUGGGAACGUGCCUUUAGGUUCGGAAUAACUCAGGGAAACUUGUGCUAAUACCGAAUGUGCCCUUCGGGGGAAAGAUUUAUCGCCUUUAGAGUGGCCCGCGUCUGAUUAGCUAGUUGGUGAGGUAAAGGCUCACCAAGGCUACGAUCAGUAGCUGGUCUGAGAGGAUGACCAGCCACAUUGGGACUGAGACACGGCCCAAACUCCUACGGGAGGCAGCAGUGGGGAGUCUUGCGCAAUGGGCGAAAGCCUGACGCAGCCAUGCCGCGUGGAUGAUGAAGGUCUUAGGAUUGUAAAAUCCUUUCACCGGUGAAGAUAAUGACUGUAGCCGGAGAAGAAGCCCCGGCUAACUUCGUGCCAGCAGCCGCAGUAAAAC